rnacentral:pre_miRNA from 1 species
AGCCUUUUGAAUCUGUGCUGAGAUUUUGUCCGACACUAACGCAUUAGGACAGAUCAGACUUACAAGAUAAGUGAAGUU